rnacentral:ncRNA from 2 species
UUCUUAUCAAGAGAGGUGGAGGGACUGGCCCAGUGAAGCCCAGCAACCGGUACUUGAAACACGGUGCUAAAUCCAGCAGAGCUUAUAGCUCUGAAAGAUAAGAA